UACGAAGGGGGCUAGCGUUGCUCGGAAUUACUGGGCGUAAAGGGCGCGUAGGCGGCACUGUUAGUCAGGCGUGAAAUUCCUGGGCUCAACCUGGGGACUGCGCUUGAUACGGCAGGGCUUGAGGAUGGAAGAGGGUCGCGGAAUUCCCAGUGUAGAGGUGAAAUUCGUAGAUAUUGGGAAGAACACCGGUGGCGAAGGCGGCGACCUGGUCCAUUACUGACGCUGAGGCGCGACAGCGUGGGGAGCAAACAGG
rnacentral:rRNA from 1 species